GGUCAGUGAUGUGAUGUAAAAGGUCUGAUGCCCAAGUUUCCUCCAGCUGCCCCUUGGCUCCCAGAAGCCCCUGCUCUAUUCCCAGCAUGCUCUAGGUGUGUAGUGUUGGGUGCAGGAGUUUUUGACAGAUAGGAUGACCUCUCAGCCUGUGUCACCAAGAGAAUAAGGGGUCACGGUGAUGACGGAUGUCCAACACAGCCAACUGCCAAGGAGUAUCGGGGUCUGGGGUGGGAACAGGCACUUGAUCUCAAGUUUUCAAGCUGAGACC